rnacentral:piRNA from 1 species
UACAUUGCAGGUGAUGGUCUGCUUGAGGU